rnacentral:misc_RNA from 1 species
UUAGUGGACUGCACCCUUUAGCCUUGGGGCCCCAUGUAGUAUGUACGCCUGUGUUGUUCAUCUGUUCAUUACCAUUAGCACCUUGUUCCUAUAGUCAGGGGUGAUAGUAGGCCCUAUAAAAUAAAAUUAAUAAGGAAACAAAUUCUAAAAUAUGUUUGUGGUGAUGUCCUCUUUCACAUCAGAAAAAGGAAAGGGGAGGGUUUUGGUUUUUGAGGGAAAUUAUGGGUAAAACGGCAGCAUAAAUGAAGCAAUGAAAAUUGCGAAUUUGUAAUGCGUUUGAACAAAGAUGAAUUAGUGCCUGUGCUGUAGUCUGGUUCCCUGACCGGGAUGAAGUUUCUUUUGGGUGCAUUGUCCCAAUUCAAGGAAAAUUCUCCGCCAGACAUUCUUUCGAAAAGAGGGGUAUGUUUGGGCCACGAAAUGGUGGGAUUGUGUCUGUAUGGCCCAAGAUCACCUCUGUAGAUUCAGGGGCACCCAUCUGGGGGCAAAGCAGACAAAAAUGUGAUUGAAAAUUUGUCAGAAGAGCCCGAUGAAGUAUAUCCACAGUGGCUGGGUAGGGGAACCAGACGUGGAAGAAAUAGGCCUGAUAGGCCAAGCGGAUAGUGAUCAUAGUCUACAGUCAUCUUUUGUCAAACUCAAGCAUAUUCCUGAUGGGUAACCUGCUGUGUACAUGUAUGUACUGUACAUGAAUGUGUAUUCAUCAUGUCUGAUGAACUGAUAUGGAGGUGCAACAAACCCAACAUCGUGAUGCAUUUGCGGGCAAGAGAGGCAGACUUGGGAAAAUCCCCUGCAUAUAGACGCAAUUGUCGCAUGUGGAGAACUCUGAUUUGUGAUAAAAGUUCAGUUUAUAAGAAGACUUGGAGUUUGACAUCAAAAAAUAAGAUACACUACUUGGGAGAUCGGUUGUACAUGGACGACUUCCGGACAUGUUACAGUUUGAAUGGACUAAAUGCCAUGCCAACUGUGAUAUAUAAGAAACCAGACAAGUCCCACAUCUACAAAUUGGAGGCUAAUCUUCACUGUUGUGCUGAACUAAACACAUUACCUGUGGCAAAUGCUGGACACAGACCUUAUAUACUUGGUCUUACUAAAUGCCAACACCUCAUCCGCAUUGAUCUCAAGACUGGCCGAAUCUUGCAGAAGAUCUUCUUGGGUCAACAUCACUUGUUCUCGAAGUUCAUAUAUUUGAAUUGGGAUGUUUUUCAAGAAAGAGCAGUGGCAUGUUCUACUCAAUCUAAGUCGUCAACAGGGCCAAUGAAGUCUUUUGUGCUACUCAGUGUCUUUCCUUUAGAUGUGAUUGGACAACUUACGGUUACCCAACAGGUAUUUGGUGCAGACAUUUGCAAUGCAAACAUCAGUGAUGGGUUGCUCAUUGUGAUGCAUAGAAACAACAGAGUGAGGAUGUACAACUUGGACCAAAUUAUCAAAGAGAAUACAAGAUUCUCGUUGCAACUGGGAGAAGUUGCCCCUACAGUGCUGGUAGGAAGUUCAUCAUCAGUGACAUCAGGUGUUGUGGGAUCGUAUCCAACAGGAAUACCUACUAAUAUACAUAUAACAGAGCGACCUCCUAUUCUCUUGGAAGUAUCUUGCUUACAGCAUGAUGUGUGUUUUGGGGGUUAUCCUUGGCAUUAUAUGUAUAUACCACAAACCAGUGAUCCGCUCUUACCACCAAAUGCUGAUGCUGGCACAGAGACAUACAUAGUUGCCAGUGUGGCAACCAACCAAAUGGUGGAGAGUGGCUUACUGGAAAUGGAUUCUGACUCGGAUGAUGUCACCAUGGCAUUUUUUCACAUGGAUGAUUCACAAAGGAUUAUUCAACUUGGUGAUUAUGAUUUGAUUGUCAAUGCAUUCCAUACAAGAGAUGAUGGGAAGAUCGAGUUGCAGAUUGUAUAUAGAGUGAGUCAUCCAGUUGUGGACAAACAUCUUGAAGGAGAAGAAGAAAAACAGCAAAAAGAUUUGGCUAAUUGGGAGACAACCUUGUCAGGUCGUAGGGUCAGCACUAAAUGGCGGAAACAGCUUAGAGUGCGAAAUCAAAUCAGAGACAUUAGUUUUGACAGUGAACUUGACUUCUUGCUGGUGUCAUUUGUAACAACCACUGGCUUUUCACCAGUAGGCACAAAAGGAGAGCUUGGAAUUUACUGUAACCAGACAGGCCGCCUGUUGAAGAUGAUGGACUUGGAUAUUGCUGAGUUUGAUACACCGAAAUAAAGAUUGUGACAGAAUGUCUCUUCCCUGCCACCUUUCACUGCAUUUGGUUGUACAUGUAGCUGUGCACAUGAUUUUGCAUCAGAUAUGGCAACUGGGGCCAGGCCCACUACAGCUACUGCUGCUCACCAGUCUCCAGCCAGAUCUGUCGAGCCCCCUGCACUGCUUCACCACAGGGGCUUUCGGCCUCCUCCCUUGAUCAGUCAGGUUGCUCAAGCUGCUGUGCCUGCCCUGAACUCUGGCAACACUCACACACAACGGAACCUCCCUAUGGAUACAUCUCCGACAGCUCUGCCUAAAUCUGGCUUUGGCAUACCCUUCCUGAUCAGAGUCCUCAUCUAGGAAGAAAUGCAAGACACAGACCCGAUCUUCCUUGGACCGUCCUUCCAAGAAGAAGAAGCAUGAAGAUGAUUCUCCUUCAACUAGGGAAGCACUCUGCACCAUUUUGGAAACUAGUGCUGCAGCCGAACCCCCGAACUGAGCCAAAAAUCAUUGAACAUGGCACUUUCAAACCGAACCGAACCAAACCAAACUGGUCUGUUCAGAUGUUCGGCUUUAAUGUGGCAUGGCAUUGCUAGUGCACAGAAUGCAGGCAAGAAAACUUGAUAAAACCAAACACGAUGAAAAAUGGAAAACGAGUUAUGCUGCAUCGGCGCUAGCACUCAGCACAUGUACAUGCAUAUGUUUAUGUAUAUACACAUGCUGUAAAUGUACACAUACAGUAAACAUACAGUGGCCCUGCAUCACGCGAUGGUUGUAAAAAGCAUGUGGUGAGAAUUCACUAAUAAUCAACCGAGAACAUGCAACAUACGGCAUUUCCGCUGCACAACAAUUCUAAAUUCUCACCACAUCCAAUUGUGCUGAUGUAUAUCCAGAUUUGUUUGCAAAUCUCUGAUAGCCACGCCCUUACAUUCCAUGUUAGGCCAAUGAUGUCUUAAGUGGCCGUGCAAAACGAAUUUUGAUUGGAUGCUGAUCACAGUCAGACUCGUGCUUGAUCGAAGGCAACUCCAGAGGGAAAACUCAUUUUGCCAGGUGGGCCGGUGCAGCGAUCCAGGGCACAACAAGAUUUGGUUUGAGCAGUGGCCUAAUUUGCCUUUUGUUUGAUCAUGUUUGAUCGAAG